CAUCUACUCCCUCCAUUCGGAAUUACUUGUCUCGGAAAUGGAUGUAUCUAGAACGUCUAGAUACAUCCAUUUCUGAGACAAGUAAUUCCGAACGGAUGGAGUAAUAA
rnacentral:pre_miRNA from 1 species